rnacentral:lncRNA from 10 species
CUUUACUGAACAUGUACGUGCCUAGGAAGUCUCAGGAAUGGGGAGGCAGCAGCUGAGGCUGUGGUGGGAGAAGAAUGACAAGAACUGAGCGUGGGCCACGGGCUCUUACCUUCAGCAACUUCAUCAGCUCUUCCAGCUGGACCAUCAGCUCCCGCCUGCUCUCCUGCAGGGCCGACAUCCUCUGCUCCAGUUCAUCCUUCCUUUGCCUAUCCAAGACGAGAAGCCUAUCAGAUAAAGAGACCCUCAAAGAUGGAUCUAAGGCCAGGUGAAAUGGAUUUCAGACCUGAUCCUGCUACUUACCAGUUAUGAGACGCUGAGCAAGUCAUUUAGCAUCCAAUACCUCAUAAAAUGGUGAUAAUGUCUGUUUUGCCUACUUCCUGGACUGUUCUGAGAAUAAUAGGUAAAAGUGCUUUGGAAAGUUUAGAUGACUAUAUAAAGGUAUUACUUAUAUUACCAGAGUGAAUUAAUGAUUAAAAAACUCUUUAGAAAAUCAAUGCCUUUUGAAAAAUAUAUAAAAUUAGCCCAAAUUUAGAUUAAUAGUAAAGAAACCAUAUUAAACUGCUCAGAGAAAACAGGGUCCAGUAGUAAGUACUUUCAGCACUAGACAGAUUCAAGAAGGAUGACAGAUCAGGACGGCUCCCUGUGUUCAAGAACAGUCACUUUUCCUUGAGGAUAGAUUUUAUGCCAUCUACUCCAGCUCAAUAUGUCCAAAACCAGACUUAAGACUUUAUUCCCUAAAUGGUUUUCUUGUCUCUGUCUCUUUUUUUUUCCUUGUCUCUGUCUCUUUUCCCUGUCUCUGCUAUUUUUCCUUCCAGGUGUCAUGGUUGAAAAACUCAGUCCUCUUUGUUACUUUCUUCUUUAUAUCCUGUAUUCAAUC